AAUCAACGCUGGCGGCGUGCCUAACACAUGCAAGUCGAACGAGAAAGUGGAGCAAUCCAUGAGUAAAGUGGCGACCGGGUGAGUAACACGUGACUAACCUACCUCCGAGUGGGGAAUAACUCCGGGAAACCGGGGCUAAUACCGCAUAACAUCGCAAGAUCAAAGCAGCAAUGCGCUUGGAGAGGGGGUCGCGGCUGAUUAGCUAGUUGGUGAGGUAACGGCCCACCAAGGCGAAGAUCGGUAUCCGGCCUGAGAGGGCGCACGGACACACUGGAACUGAAACACGGUCCAGACUCCUACGGGAGGCAGCAGUGGGGAAUUUUGCGCAAUGGGGGAAACCCUGACGCAGCAACGCCGCGUGGAGGAUGAAGCCCUUUGGGGCGUAAACUCCUUUCGACCAAGACGAUAAUGACGGUACUGGUGGAAGAAGCACCGGCUAACUCUGUGCCAGCAGCCGCAGUAAAAC
rnacentral:rRNA from 1 species